rnacentral:rRNA from 1 species
UACGUAGGGCGCAAGCGUUGUCCGGAAUUAUUGGGCGUAAAGAGCUCGUAGGCGGUUUGUCGCGUCUGCUGUGAAAACCUAAGGCUCAACCUCGGGCCUGCAGUGGGUACGGGCAGACUAGAGUGCGGUAGGGGAGAUUGGAACUCCUGGUGUAGCGGUGGAAUGCGCAGAUAUCAGGAAGAACACCGAUGGCGAAGGCAGAUCUCUGGGCCGUAACUGACGCUGAGGAGCGAAAGCAUGGGGAGCGAACAGG